rnacentral:rRNA from 1 species
CCAAUAGCGUAUAUUAAAGUUGUUGCAGUUAAAAAGCUCGUAGUUGAAUUUCGGGGUUAGCAAGUUGGUCGUGCCACUGGUAUGUACUGGCUUUGCUGAUUCCUCCUUCUUGUAGAACCGUAAUGCCAUUUAGUUGGUGUUGCGGGGAAACAGGACUGUUACUUUGAAAAAAUUAGAGUGUUUAAAGCAGGCUAACGCCUGAAUACAUUAGCAUGGAAUAAUGAAAUAGGACGAGCGAUCCUAUUUUGUUGGUUUCUAGGAUUGACGUAAUGAUUAAUAGGGAUAGUUGGGGGCAUUAGUAUUCAAUUGUCAGAGGUGAAAUUCUUGGAUUUAUUGAAGACUGACUACUGCGAAAGCAUUUGCCAAGGAUGUUUUCAUUAAUCAAGAACGAAAGUUAGGGGAUCGAAGACGAUCAGAUACCGUCGUAGUCUUAACCAUAAACUAUGCCGACUAGGGAUCGGAUGAUGUUAAUUUUUUAAUGACUCAUUCGGCGCCUUACG